rnacentral:rRNA from 1 species
CGUAGGGUGCGAGCGUUAAUCGGAAUUACUGGGCGUAAAGCGUGCGCAGGCGGUUUUGUAAGACAGAUGUGAAAUCCCCGGGCUCAACCUGGGACCUGCAUUUGUGACUGCAAGGCUAGAGUACGGUAGAGGGGGAUGGAAUUCCGCGUGUAGCAGUGAAAUGCGUAGAUAUGCGGAGGAACACCGAUGGCGAAGGCAAUCCCCUGGGCCUGCACUGACGCUCAUGCACGAAAGCGUGGGGAGCAAACAGGAUUAGAUACCCUGGUAGUCCACGCCCUAAACGAUGUCAACUGGUUGUUGGGUCUCUUCUGACUCAGUAACGAAGCUAACGCGUGAAGUUGACCGCCUGGGGAGUACGGCCGCAAGGUUG